CCAUAAUAUCCCUGCAUUGAACUGUCGUCAGAUGGUUGCAGUUUUCUAAUCUGUAUUUUGUCUGAAGGAAAUGAGAAGCAGAAUUUAUCCUUCCUCCCCUGUUAAUUUUAAUCCUUUUGCAUGGAGCUGGAUUCAUGCUGCAGGCAGGGCAUUAAACCUGAAACAAGGUGGAUCCAAAUGGAAAAAAAUGUAGAUGAUUACUGGCCAUCUGCCAAAAAGACGCUUGGGGACGUGAAAAUUCUGGAAUCACUGAAGGUUCAUUUUGAUCAAAUAUUCAUAUUCUGAGCCAUGUGUCAACAAUUUUACUGUUUAAAGACAAGAAGGUUGUGGAGGGGAAUACUGACACCAUCCUUCACAGGGGAGUUUACUUUCAGACUUCUUACAUGAAGGAGAAUAUGUUGUUAAAGAAUGGAGCAAACAUUUAAGAUGUGUUCAAAUGAAGGUGCAAAAGCACUGGA